CUGGCCACUCUGUGGACACCCUUGCCAAGCUCCACCUUUAGCUGGCAUGUCCGUGCUCUUGGGCUUCUCUCUGACCAGUUCUGGAGGCUGGGAAGUCCAAGGGCGAGGGGCUGGCAUCUGGUAAAGGCCUUCUUGCCACACCAUUCCAUGGGGGAAGAUGGAAGAGCAAGAGGACACACAGCAAGAGACAGCUAAAUUCAUUUUUACAACACAUGCUCAUGAUAACGAACCCACUCUGAUAAUGACAUUAAUGCAUUCAUCAAGGCAGAACCCUCAUGGCCUAAUCGCUUCUUAAUGGUUCCACCUCUUAAUACCAUCACAAUGGCAAUUAAAUUUCAACAUGAAUUUUGGAGGGAACAUCCAAACCAGAGCACUGUUGACUGAGUUUUCAUUUUUUAUUUUAGUAAUUGCUUUUUAAAAAAUUUCCAGGGUCUCUGACUGGUUCUUUUUUAUAAACUACCUGUUCUUGUUUCAUAAGUGCCUCUUCAUAUGUUAUGGUUUAUUUCAAAAGUCGUCUUUAGGUCUGAGAUUUUGAUUAUAUGUGUUCUAAAGUCCUUUUCUGAUUUUUCUGUUGCCUCUGUCUCAGGUGUAAGUUUGGGUUGAGUGGCCUGUUUUCCUUCACACUGUGUUGCUGCCCUGGGCAGGUGAUUCUCAGUUGUGCCUUACCUUUACAUCUGGAGUUUCCUAAUGUUCUGUGCAAAGCAUCUGGCCUUAGGAGAGAAACACCACCAAUAAGUCCCAGUUAGAGUAGGGAUGGCAGAGAAACACUCUGGGAGACAAGUCUGGACUGAACCUGUCAUGGCCUGAGGGACUUAGAAAACCUUAUUUGGACCUCCAGGGCCUAGAAAUUUGCAUGGGUCUCCUUCACUGUUUUUUCAGGCUUCAGCUUUCUAAUCUAUCUCUGUAGAAACCAGUCUUUCAUCACGCUUCUUUUCCCUUUUUGAACAUCAUCUCCUACCUGCCUGACUAGGCCCUAAUCCCCAAAAUGCAGAUCUCUCUCACAUUCUGGCCUCAGCUCCGUCGUUGUCAUUAGUGCUGUUUGCCAUCUGCCCCCGCUUUUGUGCAUAUGGUGGGGUUGCAGCCCCUGUGGUUGUAGGCCCCUUAGAACUUCCACUGCCAGUGUGAGCCCCUCAACAGCUCUCUUAUCCCUGGCAAGGUGCCUGGAAACAUUUGAGAUCUCUGUUCAUCGGUACGGGUCCGAGAGUGGUCACAUUGAAGAGAAUCCCCCCUUCCCCUGCCAGCCUGAGGUGGGCCUGCAGCAUGAGAAAGCUUUGUUGUGUGAGACGUCUGCGCUUCAUAGUUGUGUGGCUGGAGCAUAACGUGGCCUAAUAGAGAAGCUGGCCGCUAGGAGAGGGGUGCUGUGCUAAUAAAACGUGCGACCUGCCAGGAUUUGGAAUGUGGGCAGGCUGUUAGGUGGGGCAAAACAUUUGGUAAAGCUCAACUGGGAUGACUCAUGAGGCAGACCGUGAGCUAAGUGUGCGUAUCUAGUGGAGAGGUUGGGAAACAACACUGGCCUGAGUAUCGGCCGGAGGCUGCAUUGGACAAGGGACUGCAGGGAAGCGACGAGCUAAAAAAAAAUUCUGCACUUGCAAGCUGGGUGGAAGAGGAACAAAGGUCAGGAACACAAGGACUUAGGGCUGAAAGAGCCCUCCUGUGUACCCCACGGGCGGGCACAGAGCCAAGACAGAUUGUGGUGAGGGUGCCAUCCUGGAUCCAGAUGCCCUCCUGCCCCCAGGGUCAUGACGCUGGGCACUGCUGCUGAGUUUCCCAAAGCCAGGUGUCAGGCACAGGUGCGCAGCUCAGCAGCGUCCGGAGGUGGCGCUGUGGGCGUGGCUGUAGGCACGUGGAGUGGAGUCACCCGCAGACCACAGAGUCAUUUCGAGAGCUGAAUUGCAAAAGAAAGAAGAGCCCAGGAUGAAAGUCUGUGACUGCUGGGACUUGAAAACAACCUUGGCGGGGAAGAGGCUGAGAAAGCAGUUCUGCCACUGAGCAGGGCUCCUUUGAGGACACCAUCAAGCAUGGUUAAGAAACAGGAAAGGGGUCCUCCCAAGGCUGGAGCCCCAGGCCACAGAGAACAUGACUUGGGGGAGUGGGGUGUCCACUCCCAGGCAGGGGCCCUAGCUGUGCCUGCCUGGCAAGACUUUAGAUGGCCAUGCAGCAGGGGCUGCCAGGUGCCCUCCAUACCCGCUUUCACAGGGGUUACUGCAGUCAUCCUAUCCCUGGGUGUGAGGGGCAGUGGCAGUCUUCUAGUUCCUAGGUCUCUGGAUGGGGUGGCGCCUCCCCCAGACCUGAUGUGAAGAAGGUACAUGAAGCAACACAUGUAGAGACGGCCCCAGACCCUAGACCAG
rnacentral:lncRNA from 1 species